UACGUAGGGGACGAGCGUUGUCCGGAUUCAUUGGGCGUAAAGCGCGUGUAGGCGGUCCGGUAAGUCCGCUGUGAAAGUCGAGGGCUCAACCCUCGAAUGCCGGUGGAUACUGUCGGGCUAGAGUACGGAAGAGGCGAGUGGAAUUCCUGGUGUAGCGGUGAAAUGCGCAGAUAUCAGGAGGGACACCAAUUGCGAAGGCAGCUCGCUGGGACGUUACUGACGCUGAGACGCGAAAGCGUGGGGAGCAAACAGG
rnacentral:rRNA from 1 species